rnacentral:tRNA from 1 species
AUCGCUAUGGCUUAGUGGGAAAGCGCCAGGCUCAUAUGUUUGUGAUCACCUGGAGAUCCCUCGAUCGAAACGAGGUGGCGAUA